GUCUUAUUGAUAAUAAUUUUAAGUCAAUCUGCCCAAUGGAAUAAAUUAAAUGGCUGCAGUAUAAUUAACUGUACAAAGGUAGCAUAAUCAAUUGAUUUUUAAAUGAAAUCUAGAAUGAAAGAAUUAAUGAAAUAUAUACUGUCUCAAAUAUAUUAUAUAAAUUUAAAUUUUUAAUAAAAAUGUUAAAAUUUUUUUAUGGGACGAUAAGACCCUAUAGAAUUUUAUAUAAAUUUAUUUUUAUAAUUAAUAUAAUAAUUAAAUUUAUAUUUAAUUGGGAGGAUUAUUAAAUUUAAAAAACUUUAAUUUUUAAAAACUUUAAUUUAAGAAAAAUUUUUGAUCUUUAAUUUAAAAUUAAUAGAAUAAAUUACCUUAGGGAUAACAGCGUUAUAUUUUUUUAUAGAUCAUAUAGAAAAAAAUGAUUGCGACCUCGAUGUUGAAUUAAGAUAAAUUUUUAAUGUAGAAGUUAAAUAAUUAAGUCUGUUCGACUUUUAAAAUCUUACAUGAUUUGAGUUCAAAUCGACGUAAGU
rnacentral:rRNA from 1 species